GAUGAACGCUGGCGGCGUGCCUAAUACAUGCAAGUCGAGCGAACAGACGAGGAGCUUGCUCCUCUGACGUUAGCGGCGGACGGGUGAGUAACACGUGGAUAACCUACCUAUAAGACUGGGAUAACUUCGGGAAACCGGAGCUAAUACCGGAUAAUAUAUUGAACCGCAUGGUUCAAUAGUGAAAGACGGUUUUGCUGUCACUUAUAGAUGGAUCCGCGCCGCAUUAGCUAGUUGGUAAGGUAACGGCUUACCAAGGCGACGAUGCGUAGCCGACCUGAGAGGGUGAUCGGCCACACUGGAACUGAGACACGGUCCAGACUCCUACGGGAGGCAGCAGUAGGGAAUCUUGCGCAAUGGGCGAAAGCCUGACGGAGCAACGCCGCGUGAGUGAUGAAGGUCUUCGGAUCGUAAAACUCUGUUAUUAGGGAAGAACAAAUGUGUAAGUAACUAUGCACGUCUUGAUGGUACCUAAUCAGAAAGCCACGGCUAACUACGUG
rnacentral:rRNA from 1 species